GGAUCCAGACUUUGAUCAUGGCUCAGGACGAACGCUGGCGGCGCGCCUAACACAUGCAAGUCGAGCGGGAAGCUUUUUAAGGAUUCUUCGGAUGAAUUAAAAAGUGGAGAGCGGCGGACGGGUGAGUAACGCGUGAGAAACCUGCCCUAUACAGGGGGGAUAGCCAUUGGAAACGAUGAUUAAUACCCCAUAUGACCACAGUAUCGCAUGAUACAGCGGUGAAAACUCCGGUGGUAUAGGAUGGUCUCGCGUCUGAUUAGCUAGUUGGUGGGGUAACGGCCUACCAAGGCGACGAUCAGUAGCCGGCCUGAGAGGGUGACCGGCCACACUGGAACUGAGACACGGUCCAGACUCCUACGGGAGGCAGCAGUGGGGAAUAUUGCACAAUGGGCGAAAGCCUGAUGCAGCGACGCCGCGUGAACGAUGAAGGCUUUCGAGUCGUAAAGUUCUGUUCUUGGGGAAGAUAACGACGGUACCCAAGGAGAAAGCACCGGCUAAAUACGUGCCAGCAGCCGCGGUAAU
rnacentral:rRNA from 1 species